UGGUUGGGAAAGUUGUAGAGAAGACUGACAGGAGAGUGAUGUAUAGGGGGUGUCCGACAUUAUAUAGGCGAUUGAGAGACGAAAAAGGUAGAUUGGAGGAUGGGCGGAGGUCCGGAGUUUGCAAGAUACCUACUAGGAGUGGGGCUGCAGGUGAGGGUGAGGUCUGCGUGGGGGUGGCGACUGGAACGCUGGAGCGGCGGCUCAGGGAGCGUGGGCGAGACUUGGGUGGCCGGACUGCCAGUGCUGCGCUGGCAUUGGCCGCCGUUGGGAGUGAUUUGCAGGUCGACUGGCAUAGGGCAGAAGUGGUUGGACCUUUAACGAGAGAUGGACAUGCGAUCCUCGCGGAGACUAUUGAAAUAUAUGCUAGAAAGGAGGGGGAGAAGCUUUUUAACAACCAUCCGUCGCAGGAACUCCCG
rnacentral:lncRNA from 1 species